GUGGGGAAUCUUGCGCAAUGGGCGAAAGCCUGACGCAGCCAUGCCGCGUGAAUGAUGAAGGUCUUAGGAUUGUAAAAUUCUUUCACCGGGGACGAUAAUGACGGUACCCGGAGAAGAAGCUCCGGCUAACUUCGUGCCAGCAGCCGCGGUAAUACGAAGGGGGCUAGCGUUGCUCGGAAUUACUGGGCGUAAAGGGCGCGUAGGCGGACAGCUUAGUCAGAGGUGAAAGCCCAGGGCUCAACCUUGGAAUUGCCUUUGAUACUGGCUGUCUUGAGUUUGGGAGAGGUGAGUGGAACUCCGAGUGGAGAGGUGAAAUUCGUAGAUAUUCGGAAGAACACCAGUGGCGAAGGCGACUCACUGGCCCAAUACUGACGCUGAGGCGCGAAAGCGUGGGGAGCAAACAGGAUUAGAUACCCUAGUAGUCC
rnacentral:rRNA from 1 species